AAGAGUUUUGAAUUCUGGCUCAGGACGAACGCUGGCGGCGUGCCUAAUACAUGCAAGUCGAGCGGACAGAUGGGAGCUUGCUCCCUGAUGUUAGCGGCGGACGGGUGAGUAACACGUGGGUAACCUGCCUGUAAGACUGGGAUAACUCCGGGAAACCGGGGCUAAUACCGGAUGGUUGUUUGAACCGCAUGGUUCAGACAUAAAAGGUGGCUUCGGCUACCACUUACAGAUGGACCCGCGGCGCAUUAGCUAGUUGGUGAGGUAACGGCUCACCAAGGCGACGAUGCGUAGCCGACCUGAGAGGGUGAUCGGCCACACUGGGACUGAGACACGGCCCAGACUCCUACGGGAGGCAGCAGUAGGGAAUCUUCCGCAAUGGACGAAAGUCUGACGGAGCAACGCCGCGUGAGUGAUGAAGGUUUUCGGAUCGUAAAGCUCUGUUGUUAGGGAAGAACAAGUGCCGUUCAAAUAGGGCGGCACCUUGACGGUACCUAACCAGAAAGCCACGGCUAACUACGUGCCAGCAGCCGCGGUAAUACGUAGGUGGCAAGCGUUGUCCGGAAUUAUUGGGCGUAAAGGGCUCGCAGGCGGUUUCUUAAGUCUGAUGUGAAAGCCCCCGGCUCAACCGGGGAGGGUCAUUGGAAACUGGGGAACUUGAGUGCAGAAGAGGAGAGUGGAAUUCCACGUGUAGCGGUGAAAUGCGUAGAGAUGUGGAGGAACACCAGUGGCGAAGGCGACUCUCUGGUCUGUAACUGACGCUGAGGAGCGAAAGCGUGGGGAGCGAACAGGAUUAGAUACCCUGGUAGUCCACGCCGUAACGAUGAGUGCUAAGUGUUAGGGGGUUUCCGCCCCUUAGUGCUGCAGCUAACGCAUAAGCACCCCCUGGGGGUACGGGCAAGACUGAACUCAAGGAAUUUGACGGGGGGCCCGCACAAGCGGUGGAGCAUGUGGGUUUAAUUCGAAAGCAGCGCGAGAACCCUUACCAGGUCGUUGACGAUCCUCUGACAAUCCCUAGAGAUAGGGACGGUCCGCCUUCGGGGGCAGAGUGACAGUGGUGCAUGGCUUGGUCGUUCAGCUCGUUGUCGUGAGAUGUGGUUAAGGUUCCCGCCACGAGCGCAAGCCCCGUUUGAAAUUCCUUUAGAGUUUGGC
rnacentral:rRNA from 1 species